rnacentral:tRNA from 1 species
UGGUGCCGUAGAGCGGCUUGAACUCGUCGAAGUCGGAGCCGUCGACGAUCCGGGCGAUCACCUCGCGCGGGUCGAAGGGCACCUU